rnacentral:rRNA from 1 species
AUUGAACGCUGGCGGCAUGCCUUACACAUGCAAGUCGAACGGCAGCACGGGAGCAAUCCUGGUGGCGAGUGGCGAACGGGUGAGUAAUAUAUCGGAACGUGCCCAGUCGUGGGGAUAACGUAGCGAAAGCUACGCUAAUACCGCAUACGAUCUAAGGAUGAAAGCGGGGGAUCGCAAGACCUCGCGCGAUUGGAGCGGCCGAUAUCAGAUUAGCUAGUUGGUGAGGUAAAGGCUCACCAAGGCGACGAUCUGUAGCUGGUCUGAGAGGACGACCAGCACACUGGAACUGAGACACGGUCCAGACUCCUACGGGAGGCAGCAGUGGGGAAUUUUGGACAAUGGACGCAAGUCUGAUCCAGCCAUUCCGCGUGCAGGAUGAAGGCCCU